rnacentral:rRNA from 1 species
AGUGAACGCUGGCGGUAGGCCUAACACAUGCAAGUCGAACGGCAGCACAGUAAGAGCUUGCUCUUACGGGUGGCGAGUGGCGGACGGGUGAGGAAUACAUCGGAAUCUACUUUUUCGUGGGGGAUAACGUAGGGAAACUUACGCUAAUACCGCAUACGACCUACGGGUGAAAGCAGGGGAUCUUCGGACCCUGCGCGAUUGAAUGAGCCGAUGUCGGACUAGCUAGUUGGCGGGGUAAAGGCCCACCAAGGCGACGAUCCGUAGCUGGUCUGAGAGGAUGAUCAGCCACACUGGAACUGAGACACGGUCCAGACUCCUACGGGAGGCAGCAGUGGGGAAUAUUGGACAAUGGGCGCAAGCCUGAUCCAGCCAUACCGCGUGGGUGAAGAAGGCCUUCGGGUUGUAAAGCCCUUUUGUUGGGAAAGAAAAGCAGCAGGUUAAUACCCCGCUGUUCUGACGGUACCCAAAGAAUAAGCACCGGCUAACUUCGUG